UACGAAGGGGGCUAGCGUUGUUCGGAAUCACUGGGCGUAAAGGGCGCGUAGGCGGCUUUAUAAGUCGGGGGUGAAAGCCUGUGGCUCAACCACAGAAUUGCCUUCGAUACUGUAGAGCUUGAGACCGGAAGAGGUAAGUGGAACUGCGAGUGUAGAGGUGAAAUUCGUAGAUAUUCGCAAGAACCCCAGUGGCGAAGGCGGCUUACUGGUCCGGUUCUGACGCUGAGGCGCGAAAGCGUGGGGAGCAAACAGG
rnacentral:rRNA from 1 species